rnacentral:rRNA from 1 species
CACAAUGGGCGCAAGCCUGAUGCAGCAACGCCGCGUGAGGGAUGACGGCCUUCGGGUUGUAAACCUCUUUUAGCAGGGAAGAAGCGAAAGUGACGGUACCUGCAGAAAAAGCGCCGGCUAACUACGUGCCAGCAGCCGCGGUAAUACGUAGGGCGCAAGCGUUAUCCGGAAUUAUUGGGCGUAAAGAGCUCGUAGGCGGUCUGUCGCGUCUGCUGUGAAAACCCGAGGCUCAACCUCGGGCCUGCAGUGGGUACGGGCAGACUAGAGUGCGGUAGGGGAGAUUGGAAUUCCUGGUGUAGCGGUGGAAUGCGCAGAUAUCAGGAGGAACACCGAUGGCGAAGGCAGAUCUCUGGGCCGUAACUGACGCUGAGGAGCGAAAGGGUGGGGAGCAAACAGGCUUAGAUACCCUGGUAGUCCACCCCGUAAACGUUGGGAACUAGUUGUGGGGUCCAUUCCACGGAUUCCGUGACGCAGCUAACGCAUUAAGUUCCCCGCCUGGGGAGUACGGCCGCAAGGCUAAAACUCAAAGGAAUUGACGGGGACCCGCACAAGCGGCGGAGCAUGCGGAUUAAUUCGAUGCAACGCGAAGAACCUUACCAAGGCUUGACAUAUAGAGGAAACGUCUGGAAACAGUCGCCCCGCAAGGUCUCUAUACAGGUGGUGCAUGGUUGUCGUCAGCUCGUGUCGUGAGAUGUUGGGUUAAGUCCCGCAACGAGCGCAACCCUCGUUCUAUGUUGCCAGCACGUAAUGGUGGGAACUCAUGGGAUACUGCCGGGGUCAACUCGGAGGAAGGUGGGGAUGACGUCAAAUCAUCAUGCCCCUUAUGUCUUGGGCUUCACGCAUGCUACAAUGGCCGGUACAAAGGGCUGCAAUACCGUGAGGUGGAGCGAAUCCCAAAAAGCCGGUCCCAGUUCGGAUUGAGGUCUGCAACUCGACCUCAUGAAGUCGGAGUCGCUAGUAAUCGCAGAUCAGCAACGCUGCGGUGAAUACGUUCCCGGGUCUUGUACACACCGCCCGUCAAGUCAUGAAAGUCGGUAACACCUGAAGCCGGUGGCCCAACCCUUGUGGAGGGAGCCGUCGAAGGUGGGAUC